AGCAGUGGAGCCUAAGUGGUUAAAACAUUGGACUACCAAUACCAAUGGUUGUGAGUUCAAAUCCCAGCACUGCCA